CUGCCCACCACCUCGCUCUCAAUCCGCACCAGCUUCUCGCCGAACCGGCCGAACGCCCGCACCACCUCCGCGUCGGACGUCCACGCCGGCGUGUCCCGCUGCCCGAGGUAUAUCUCGUCGGACGAGUGCUUGGACAGGAUCUCCAGCAGCGAGAUGCCCAGCAGAGUCUACAGUUGGCUGGUGAUGGUGCGGAUGAAGAAGCGCUCCGGCUUGCGCUCCAGCUACGCGUACUCCUCCGACCCCGGCUCCGGCAUGGCCUGACGGCUCACCGUCGGCCGGUUCGGGACGUAGCCCGCGUACGAGUACUGCCCGAAGUUGACGGCGGCGUGGAGCGCCGACGCGAUCCACACGAUGGUGGUGCAGGCCUUGGUGAGCUCUGCCACGGUCUGCAUCGCCGGCCACCAAGCGGCGUCCUUGAGGUCGCCGUGCCCGACCUCGCGCACCUCCUUCCACCACGCCUGCAGCUCCUCGUCGCCCUAG
rnacentral:rRNA from 1 species